rnacentral:rRNA from 1 species
UACGUAGGGUCCGAGCGUUGUCCGGAAUUGCUGGGUGUAAAGAGCUCGUAGGUGGUUUGUCGCGUUGUUCGUGAAAACUCACAGCUCAACUGUGGGCGUGCGGGCGAUACUGGCAGACUAGAGUACUGCAGGGGAGACUGGAAUUCCUGGUGUAGCGGUGGAAUGCGCAGAUAUCAGGAGGGACACCGGUGGCGAAGGCGGGUCUCUGGGCAGUAACUGACGCUGAGGAGCGAAAGCGUGGGGAGCGAACAGG